rnacentral:lncRNA from 1 species
CACUUCACAGACUUUCUCUUCCUUCCUGAACAGUUGUGGACUCGCUGCUGGUAAUAAUCAGCAGACAGAAACUCGACUCUGUUAUCUGCUCUGCUGUUCUUGGAUGAUGAUGAUGAUGGUACUGGGGAUAAAUUAUAUGAAAAGCGUUGUUGGUGUUUUGAUGCUGAUCACAGGAAGGUCCCAUGGUCUGAUGUUUACUUGCGACGCAAGACAAAAUACUACAUGUUACACCGCCCUUGGACACCCGGUCUAUCUGCAGCUGAUAAAUGUUGAACAACCCCAGCUGAGUUUUACAGCAGGGACUCAAAGAAUAUUCAACAUAAAGAAAAAUAUAAUCACACGUCAGAAUCUCCCUCCAAAUUGGCAGUUUAUCAUUAGUAACUGGACCCUGAUUAUUAACCCUGUGGAGAGGAAAGAUACAGGAACAUACAGAACUGAGAGCCAUGAUGAAUACGGGAAAGUGGUGGGGAUAAACUGCUUACAUCUUUUUAUUGAAGCUCCUGUAUCCUCUGUGACUCUGAACAUCGCCUGCUUACCCUCUAGUGAGAGGAGGGUGACCUGUUCCUCCAGUGGGGACAGUCCUCAGUACAGCUGGACCCUGGACGGGACACCACUGGGUGAAGGUGGAACUGAUGUCAUAUUGAAGGAGGAAGCGACAGGAGCUCUAACCUGCACUGUCACCAAUAACGUCAGCAGCGUCAACAAAACUCAAGACCUGAAUCCAUGUAGAAGACCAUCAACCCCUCAGUCAACGUGUCCACCUCAAACAGCAGUGAGUGGCACUUACAACCAGGACACAGAUAUGAAUGAACCUGACCAACACCAUCAGAGCUGUGGUUUAUUAGUGUUCAUCACAGUGUGGCUUGCUGAGAUCAUCGUUCUCACAUCACUCUGGGUUGGAUUCUAUUAUCUCUACACCAGGAACAACAGAUCCCAGACAAUAGUCAGGAAAUGCAGGUCACACACCGCUUCAGGAACCAGUGAUGAAAGCUAACUGUGCCAAAUGUUUGGGAUUUUAAAUUUUUUUGCGCUAAGGUCAUCAAUCAGAUUUUUAUGUAGCUUUUAGUUACUUUCAUUACUUGCCUGGUUUCUUAGCCCACCUUGUUUUCACCUCAGUGUGUAAGAGAACCUGCAUCUGGCUUUUUGGGGCAUCAACCCCUUCUGUUUUAUGUUGGUGUAAAUAAAUGUUGAUUUCCACCCUGUACCUGCA